rnacentral:rRNA from 1 species
UACGUAGGGGACAAGCGUUGUCCGGAUUUACUGGGCGUAAAGAGCGCGUAGGCGGCUCGUUAAGUGUGAAGUGAAAUCUCUAGGGCUCAACCCAGAAACUGCUUUACAUACUGGCGAGCUGGAGUGAUGAAGAGGUUUGUGGAAUUCCUGGUGUAGCGGUGAAAUGCGUUGAUAUCAGGAGGAACACCCAUGGCGAAGGCAGCAAACUGGUCAUCAACUGACGCUGAGGCGCGAAAGCGUGGGUAGCAAACAGG